AUAUAGAGUGCUCCUCUCUGCAUGGUGUCCAUAAGUCCCUCAUACUCCACAUAUACAUUUGUACUACUACCGCCACUUAGACUUUCAUUUGUGUUGAACUAGCUUCAUCAUGAGCAAGCCUGUGAAGAUUGGUCUAUGGGGUGGAGUCGGAGGCCAGCCUCGUGACGUCAAACACGCUCCCCACCGACUAGCCCGGGUGGAAAUUUCUGGUGCAGACGCAAUCCACUCCAUCAAGUUUACAUAUGAGGAUCAUGCCGGGGAUCAGCAUGUAGAGGGUGCAUGGGGAGCUCCUAGUGGGAACAAGCACACGUUGGACCUAGAAGAUACGGAAUAUGUGACUGAAAUUUCAGGAACCUAUGGUAGAUGGGGUAGUGUGUCGUCAAUAGUGACGUCUCUCAAAUUUGUUACAAACAAUGGACAGACUAUAGAAUGUGGUAGUGCUGGUUCCGGGGUUCCUUUCAUGUCCCAGUGACUCAUGGCGGCCAGAUCACCGGUUUCUUUGGACGUGUUGGGGAUCUCAUUGACGCUAUUGGAAUCUAUGUUCUUCCAUGAUCCAUCAUCAUGCAUCGAGUUACUUCCGCUAUAAGGAGUAGCCCAUGAGGCCUACGUGCUACUACUAUUAUUGUGUGUUGUUGAAAUAAAUCAGGGACACCUUUGUUAGCUGGCAGAAUUAUUAUAUAUGCCUGCCAUGCCAUGAUAUGCCAUGUCUUGAAUCCCUCCCAAGUAAGGGAAUGUACAAGUAUGUCAUUUGUGUGAAAAUCUAUGUCUCUUGUAAUAUCUCGUGCUAAUAAGCACGAAUUAUGAAUAAGUAACCACAUCCCCUA